GGCCGGGGGCGGGGGGGCAGCUGGCAGGGCCGCUCAGCUCCCGCCUGCUCCCGCCUCUCGCCCGGGCAGCGCUUUGGGGGGGGGGGGCUCAAGCCGGAUCCUGCCCAUUCCAUACGUUAAUGCUCUUUUCUCUCCGGCUGCAGGGAAGCAGGCCAGCGGAUAAUUACCCCUCACUGCAAUCCGCAGAGCUGGCCUAAUCCGAAAGCUCAAGUGCCCGUAAUGAGUGAGUCGCCCAAAUUGCCAUACACCUUCAGCUUUGGGUUUACCCCACCCUUUGCUAUCAAGACCGUCUCUUGGAGAGAUUUCUGGACCACGCAAAACAUGGGAGCACAGAUGCGCUCUUAAGGACAGCGGGGAUGUAUACGGUCAGAGCCAUACGUGCGAGUGCAGCGCGUCCAACCUCCCGCCAGGAACUGAGCAAGAGACCGGGCCCAGCAGAACCAGCCCGUGGAAAUCAGGAUAUUUACAGUACUCAGACAUGUGAUGAAGGCUGCAGCAAGGCACUGCCUCGAAGUUAG
rnacentral:lncRNA from 1 species